AUAUUGCACGUGCUAUUUGUCAAAAAUUCGGACGAAAAAUGUAAUCCCCUUCUAAUUUAGCGAGAUCGAUCACCAUUUUUUGGAUUUUCUCUUAAAAAUCCAUCAUCUCCCGGCUGAAGUCUAUGUUGGACUGUCAAGAUAUAUUAUAAAACGGAAAGACUAAGAAUAGUAUUUAUGUAGAAUCUUUGCGAUGUUCGUCGAGAAAAAGAUAAUUUAUUAGGCAAGUACAUUUCCUUACUAUUCGAAAUAUUUUCUUGUGUAAAGUAGUUUGAAAUUAUGUUUAUUUAAUUUUACUAUUCGCAGAUUGCGAACUUUUAUGUAUUCGUGGAAAGUGGAAAGAUGCAGAGAUACACAGACAUAAAAUGCAAAAAUAUACAUACACAGCUAUGUAUACACUUCUCAAAGAAGUAUUAUUAUUACAAUAUUUGGCGAGUAUCAUAAACUUCUUUUAAUUUCUAGGUAUCAUUUCUCCAGCUGUUAUAUCAAAUAAUGAAAUGUCGCAAACAUAAACAGUUUAACUAUUAGUACAAUCUAACAUAAAAAUGUAUUACAAAAAUAUAUUAGCGUAUAGGAAUAACAAAAUUCCCAUUAUAGAAAGCAAUAAAAUGUAUCAAUUUAUAAAAGACCAACAAUCACAAUUAAUUUUCAUAUUAAAUAGAAAUAUAGGGUUCCAUUGUACCUUAACUAGCAGUAAACUAGAGUUGAUCAUAAGUAAACAUCAGAUCCUGGAAUGAUUCGUUUUUCUAUUUUUUAAUUGUGAC